GCCUGCAUCAUAGCAUUAAUGCACCAAAUCCCAUUAGAACUUUGUAAUUAAGAACACUCAGAUAGAGUAGUACUGUGAUGGGUGACCACCCGAGAAGUCCUAGUGUUUUACAUGCC
rfam:Picea glauca, whole genome shotgun sequence.